rfam:Erinaceus europaeus unplaced genomic scaffold scaffold00737, whole genome shotgun sequence
GCACUUACUGGCAGAAGAUAUACCAUGAUCGCAAAGGUGGUUUUCCCAGGGUGAGACUUAGCUAUUGCACUCCAGGUGUGCUAACCCCUGUGAUUUCCCCAAAUGUGGGAAACUCAACUGCAUAAUGUGUGGUAGUGGGGGUCUGCGUUCACACUCUCCAG